CGUCGCGGGCGUUGGAAAUUUGAGAGGAGCUGUCCUUAGUACGAGAGGACCGGGAUGGACUUACCGCUGGUGUACCAGUUGUUCUGCCAAGGGCAUUGCUGGGUAGCUAUGUAGGGAAGGGAUAAACGCUGAAAGCAUCUAAGUGUGAAGCCCACCUCAAGAUGAGAUUUCCCAUUUCUUUAAGAAAGUAAGAUCCCUGAGAGAUGAUCAGGUAGAUAGGUCAGGAGUGGAAGUACAGUGAUGUAUGGAGCGGACUGAUACUAAUCGAUCGAGGACUUAACCACA
rnacentral:rRNA from 1 species